ensembl:lncRNA
UGGGGAGGCAGCGGGUUUCCCAGCCCCGGUCGCUCGCGGCUGCGACGGGCGCGCGGGAGGCCAGAGCCACCGCCAGCCGGAGCGACCUGCAGGCAGGCCUCGGUGCAGACCCUCUUAACCUUCCGGGGGAUCCGUCAGUCCCAGAGGGCUUUCCUGAGCCACCCUCCUCACCAAGACGGGCAAGAAGACGGUAAAUUCUGAAGCAAAACAGCUUCUAGAAGAAAACCACUCUAUCAUCUGCCUACCUGUUUAGCCACCCAGAACAUAUCCUAAAGGGGAAAUAAUCUACUCCUACUUGGAAACAGCCUCGGGAACAGCAUCCGUUUCUGAGAUUCCCCGGAAAAAUUCCCCCAGCGCGGGCUGCUCCACAUUUACGUCCGUAGACGCGUAGCGGUUGCUCUUCCACACCUAUUGGAUAAAGGGCAGCUGUAAAGAACCAAAAACAGUCGUCAGAAAAAUAAUGCCGAGGGGGGAAAGGGGGCCUGAAAAUCGAAUUGCAGAGGCAGCAGGCAGAGCGACCAGAUGCGCCUGCACACAGCCCCAGCAACCCGGAGUCUCUCCGGGCUUUUUCGAGACCGCAUCCAGUCCAAAUACGCAGCGUCCUGGGCUGGAAGAAAAAGACGCGUCUUACGAAAGAAGCUAGACUUCUGUAACGUGAAGGUGAAAUCGGCAAAGAAAAUCCUCCUACCUGAGAUUGUGACCCUACGCCCAGGCAGGACUGUAAAUCCACGCUAUGUGCCUGUGACUGAUUUGGGAUUUGGAUUUCUGAUUUGGCUGAGAGAUGUGCAAAAACCUCAAGUAGUCAACAGCUCCCUACUGGCUAUGCAUCUGAGGGGCUCAAGAACAUUGUUUAUUCCAGCAAGUGUCUGGAAUACAUUAUACUCGAUAAAUUGGCUCCUGCUACUCCCGUUUUGGAGAAUAUGAAGAAUUUGUAUACUGUGCUGAAAUAAAUGUACUUUGCCCAAAUAACAAUUUUCCUUAAAAGAAAAUUCUAAAUAUGACUCUAUCGUCUGAAUCUAGGAUUUCCAAUAUUUUAAACACUUGGCAUUUCUGAAAGAGUAAUAAUGAACUAAUUCUCCACACCGUCAAACUCAGAAACUGGUUCAAAAUUUAGAUCUGUUUUUAUCCAGGGGCCAUAUGAAUCGAGGUGUCCAGAAG